GGAUGUCUGCGUGGUGCGUGAGCCGCACUGAACCCUGGGGCCAAUGCUCUCCUCUAGGGAGCUGUUCCUGGCCUUGAUCCUGGUCUCGGCCACACGGUGCCCACCUGCGUUUGCAGGCCACAGAGGUUAGACACGGCGCACGGCCAACGUGGUGCC
rnacentral:other from 1 species